rnacentral:rRNA from 1 species
UACGUAGGUGGCAAGCGUUAUCCGGAUUUAUUGGGCGUAAAGGGAACGCAGGCGGUCUUUUAAGUCUGAUGUGAAAGCCUUCGGCUUAACCGGAGUAGUGCAUUGGAAACUGGGAGACUUGAGUGCAGAAGAGGAGAGUGGAACUCCAUGUGUAGCGGUGAAGUGCGUAGAUAUAUGGAAGAACACCAGUGGCGAAAGCAGCUCUCUGGUCUGUAACUGACGCUGAGGUUCGAAAGCGUGGGUAGCAAACAGG